rnacentral:rRNA from 1 species
AACGCUGGCGGCGUGCUUAACACAUGCAAGUCGAACGAGAAGAGAUGAGAAGCUUGCUUCUUAUCAAUUCGAGUGGCAAACGGGUGAGUAACGCGUAAGCAACCUGCCCUUCAGAUGGGGACAACAGCUGGAAACGGCUGCUAAUACCGAAUACGUUCUCUUUGUCGCAUGGUACAGCAAUUAAAGGAGUAAUCCGCUAUGAGAUGGGCCCGCGGCGCAUUAGCUAGUUGGUGAGGUAACGGCUCACCAAGGCGACGAUGCGUAGCCGACCUGAGAGGGUGAUCGGCCACAUUGGGACUGAGACACGGCCCAGACUCCUACGGGAGGCAGCAGUGGGGAAUAUUGCACAAUGGGGGAAACCCUGAUGCAGCAACGCCGCGUGAGUGAUGACGGCCUUCGGGUUGUAAAGCUCUGUCUUCAGGGACGAUAAUGACGGUACCUGAGGAGGAAGCCACGGCUAACUACGUG